rnacentral:rRNA from 1 species
UGGUGUGAUGGGUUCUUACCUUCUGAAUAACCAGCAUGCCAUUCAUUUGGUGCGUUGGGGAAGCAGGACUAUUACCUUGAAAAAAUUAGAGUGCUCAAAGCAGGCUAGUGCCUGAAUACAUUAGCAUGGAAUAAUAAAAUAGGACGGCAUGGUUCUAUUUUGUUGGUUUCUAGGAUCACCGUAAUGAUUAAUAGGGAUAGUUGGGA